AGAACGAACGCUGGCGGCAUGCCUAACACAUGCAAGUCGAACGCGUGUAGCGAUACACGAGUGGCGGACGGGUGAGUAACGCGUGGGAACCUGCCCUGGAGUGUGGGAUAACCGAGGGAAACUUCGGCUAAUACCGCAUACGACCUGAGGGUGAAAGAUUUAUCGCUCUAGGAGGGGCCCGCGUCGGAUUAGCUAGUUGGUGGGGUAAAGGCCUACCAAGGCAGUGAUCCGUAGCUGGUCUGAGAGGAUGAUCAGCCACACUGGGACUGAGACACGGCCCAGACUCCUACGGGAGCAGCAGUGGGAAUAUUGGACAAUGGGGGCAACCCUGAUCCAGCAAUGCCGCGUGAGUGAUGAAGGCCUUAGGGUUGUAAAGCUCUUUCGCGCGCGACGAUGAUGACGGUAGCGCGAGAAGAAGCCCCGGCUAACUUCGCGCCAGCAGCCGC
rnacentral:rRNA from 1 species